rnacentral:rRNA from 1 species
ACAACUUUCAGCAAUAGAUAUCUCAACUCUCGCAUCGAUGAAGAAUGUAUUAAAAUUUGAUACAUGCUGUGAAUUGUAGAAUCCUGUGACUAUUGAGUCUCUGAAUGCAAGUUGUGCCACAAGCCAUUAGGUCGAGGGCAUGCCUACCUAGGUGUCAUGCAUUGUCUCCCUCUCUAAACCCCCACCCAUUAGGCUUUACAGUAAGGGACUAAAAAUCACCCUUCAUGAUCUCAUCGAUCGUGGUUGGCCCAAAAGUGAGUCCUCGACAAUGAUAGCAUCGUGAUCGUUGGUGGUAAAGCUCUUGGCAUGCCUCGACUCCGGUGACACAUGCUCUUUGUCCAUCUAAACCUCAUUGAACCCCCGCAUCACUUGAUUGAUGCUAGCAUCAUAACCCUAGGUCAAGUAGGAUUACUUGAUGAAUUUAAGCAUAUCAAUAUGUAGAGAAAAAGAAACUUACCAAGAUUCCCCUAGUAACAACAAGUGAACCAGAAAUAGCCUAGCUUGAGAAUCGGGUACCCACAGCAUCUGAAUUAUAGUUUACAGAAGCAUCCUCAGUGGUGGACUAGGCCCAAGUUCCCAGGAAAGGGGAGCCAGAGAGGCUGAGAGCCCUAUUGUGCCUAGACCCUAUCACACCAUGAGGCACUAUCUUUGAGUUGGGUUGUUUAGGUAUGUAGCCCCAAUAGGGUAGCAAAUUCCAUCCAAAGCUGAAUAUGGCUGAGAAACUGAGAGAACAACUAUCACAAAAGAAAGAUGAAAAGGACUUUGAAAAGAGAGUCAAUGAUUUCUUGAAAUUAUCAAAAAAGAAGUGAAAUGGGGGCCAAUGAUGCAUCUUGGUUAAAUGUGGAACAACGAUAGCCAAUCCAUCGAUCGGCUAGGGCAUGGACCAUUAUGGGUUAUGGUAGUGGCCCGAACCCAAGCUUCAAUAUGCCUAUGGAGACAUUGUUACCACGAUUAUAAAAUGCAACACGUGCCAUCUGGACAUGCCUUGACACUCACAUGCUCCUAACAUAGGCCUGCAGGUUCCUCAUCUGGUGCAUCUUGAAACAUUGCACAAGGAGUCUAACAUGUGUGUGAGUCAAUGGGUUAGAAAACCUAUAAAACACAAGAAAGUUGAUUGGUGGGAUCCUUCAUGAGUGAGCUACUGACUGACCUUGAUCUUUUGAAAAGGGUUUGAGUGUGAGCAUGCCUAUAAAGACCUAAAAGAUAAGGAACUAUGCUUAAGUGGGACAAAGCCAAAGGAAACUGUGGUGGAGGCCCACAAUGAUACUAGCAUGUAAAUUGUUUAUCUAACUUGGGUAUAGGGGUGAAAAACUAAUCAAACUAUUUAAUAACUGGUUCCCUCUGAAGUUUUCCUUAGGAUAGGUGGAGCCUUUAGUGAAUUCCAUAAGGUAAAGCUAAUGAUUAGAGGCAUCGGGGCCACAACACCCUCAACCUAUUCUUAAACUUUAAAUAGGUAGGAUGGUGCGACUUCAUUAAGCCAUGCCACGAAAUUGAAAGCUCUAAGUGGCAAUUUUUGGUAAGCAGAACUGGCAAUGCAGGAUGAACCAGAAGCCAAGUUAUGGUGCCUAACUUUGCACUAACCUAGAACCCACAAAGUGUGUUUGUCGAUUAAGAUAGCAAAAUAGUGGUCAUGGAAGUUGAAAUUUGCUAAAGAGUGUGUAACUACUCACCUACCGAGUCAAUUGGCCCUAAAAAUGGAUAACACUUAAGCACAUGACCAAUACUCAACUAUCAGGGCAAGGGCCAAGCCCUAAUGAGUAAGAAGGCACAUGGUCACCAUAAAAUCUAAGGCAUGAGCUCGGGUGGAGCAGCCGUUAGUGUAGAUCUUGGCAUUAGUAGUAAAUAUUCAAAUGAAAGCUUUGAAGGCCAAAGAAAGGAAAGGUUCCACAUGAAUGGCACUUGUAUAUGAGUUAGUUGAUCCUAAGAGAUGGGGGAAGAUAGUCUAAUAGUGCAUCCAGCACAAGCUUUGAAAGGGAAUAAGGUUAAAAUUCUUGAAUCGAGAUGCAGCGAUUGAUGGCAAUGUUAGAGAAUCUAGAGACAUUGGUGGGGUCCUUGAAAAGAGUUAUCUUUUCUAUUUCAUGGCCUCCCCACCCUAGAAAUGACCCAACUGUAGGUAGGGUCUAAUAGCCAGAUGAGCAACAUAUGUUGCUUGGUGUCUAGUGCACCCCAGCAACCCUUGAAAAUUUGGAGCACCAAGUGCCAUUCGUGUACAAUCAUACUCAUAACCACAUCAGGUCUCCAAGGUAAACAACCAUUGGUCAAUGGAACAAUGUAUGCAAGAGAAGUCGACAAAAUGGAUUUGUAACCUCGAGAAAAGGAUUAACUCUGAGGGCUGUUCAUGGGGGUCCUAUUCUUGAACCCAUCAGCUAUCAAUGCACUAUUGAGCUACUCUCAUGACGAGCAAGUCACCAUGUGUUGAUCGGGAGCUUUCCCCAAAUAAUGAAUAGUCAACUUUGAACUAGUAUGGACUAAGGGAAUCUGACUAUUUAAUUAAAACAAA